rnacentral:rRNA from 1 species
CCUACGGGAGGCAGCAGUAGGGAAUCUUGGGCAAUGGGCGAAAGCCUGACCCAGCCAUGCCGCGUGAGUGACGAAGGCCUUCGGGUCGUAAAACUCUUUUCUGAGGGAAGAAUGAUCCGGGGAGGCAAUGCCCCGGAUGUGACGGUACCUCAGGAAUAAGCAACGGCUAACUACGUGCCAGCAGCCGCGGUAAUACGUAGGGGGCAAGCGUUGUCCGGAUUUACUGGAUGUAAAGGGCGCGCAGGUGGGUUGACAAGUCAGAGGUGAAAUCCUACAGCUUAACUGUAGAACUGCCUUUGAGACUGUCAAUCUUGAGUACGGAAGAGAGAGAUGGAAUUCCAGGUGUAGUGGUGAAAUACGUAGAUAUCUGGAAGAACACCAGUGGCGAAGGCGGUCUCUUGGUCCAAUACUGACACUAAGGCGCGAAAGCGUGGGGAGCAAACAGGAUUAGAUACCCUGGUAGUCCACGCUGUAAACGAUGAAUACUAGGUGUCGGGCUGAAAGGUUCGGUACCGAAGCUAACGCAUUAAGUAUUCCACCUGGGGAGUACGAUCGCAAGGUUAAAACUCAAAGGAAUUGACGG